CAGAGUUUGAUCCUGGCUCAGGAUGAACGCUGGCGGCGUGCCUAAUACAUGCAAGUCGAGCGAACGGACGAGAAGCUUGCUUCUCUGAUGUUAGCGGCGGACGGGUGAGUAACACGUGGAUAACCUACCUAUAAGACUGGGAUAACUUCGGGAAACCGGAGCUAAUACCGGAUAAUAUUUUGAACCGCAUGGUUCAAAAGUGAAAGACGGUCUUGCUGUCACUUAUAGAUGGAUCCGCGCUGCAUUAGCUAGUUGGUAAGGUAACGGCUUACCAAGGCAACGAUGCAUAGCCGACCUGAGAGGGUGAUCGGCCACACUGGAACUGAGACACGGUCCAGACUCCUACGGGAGGCAGCAGUAGGGAAUCUUCCGCAAUGGGCGAAAGCCUGACGGAGCAACGCCGCGUGAGUGAUGAAGGUCUUCGGAUCGUAAAACUCUGUUAUUAGGGAAGAACAUAUGUGUAAGUAACUGUGCACAUCUUGACGGUACCUAAUCAGAAAGCCACGGCUAACUAC
rnacentral:rRNA from 1 species